GACGAACGCUGGCGGCGUGCCUAAUACAUGCAAGUAGAACGCUGAAGGAGGAGCUUGCUUCUCUGGAUGAGUUGCGAACGGGUGAGUAACGCGUAGGUAACCUGCCUGGUAGCGGGGGAUAACUAUUGGAAACGAUAGCUAAUACCGCAUAAUAGUAGAUGUUGCAUGACAUUUACUUAAAAGGUGCAAUUGCAUCACUACCAGAUGGACCUGCGUUGUAUUAGCUAGUUGGUGGGGUAACGGCUCACCAAGGCGACGAUACAUAGCCGACCUGAGAGGGUGAUCGGCCACACUGGGAAUGGGACACGGCCCAGACUCCUACGGGAGGCAGCAGUAGGGAAUCUUCGGCAAUGGACGAAAGUCUGACCGAGCAACGCCGCGUGAGUGAAGAAGGGUUUCGGAUCGUAAAGCUCUGUUGUAAGAGAAGAACGAGUGUGAGAGUGGAAAGUUCACACUGUGACGGUAGCUUACCAGAAAGGGACGGCUAACUACGUG
rnacentral:rRNA from 1 species